UGAUGCCAUUUCAAAUAUCUUUCAG
rnacentral:piRNA from 1 species